GUGCCAGCCGCCGCGGUAAGACGAACCGUGCUAACGUUGUUCGGAAUCACUGGGCUUAAAGGGCGCGUAGGCGGCUUGCCAAGUCAAGGGUGAAAUCUUUCGGCCCAACCGGAAAAGGGCCUUUGAUACUGGCAGGCUAGAGCGAGGUAGGGGCAGAUGGAACUUCCGGUGGAGCGGUGAAAUGUGUUGAUAUCGGAAGGAACGCCGGUGGCGAAAGCGAUCUGCUGGACCUCUUCUGACGCUGAGGCGCGAAAGCCAGGGGAGCAAACGGGAUUAGAAACCCUGGUAGUCC
rnacentral:rRNA from 1 species